rnacentral:misc_RNA from 1 species
AAGGAUCAUUAAGAGAGUAGUUGCCCUGCCGGGCACAUCUACCACCCUUUGUUUACCACACCAUUGUUGCUUUGGCAGGCCUGUCUCUAGACUGCUGGCUCCGGCUGGCGAGCGCCUGCCGAGGGACCCAAACUCUGUUUGUCUAUACUGUCUGAGUACUAUAUAAUAGUUAAAAACUUUCAACAACGGAUCUCUUGGUUCUG